UCGAUGUCAAAGAAGACACUUUGAGAAAUCUGUUCAAAAUAUUGGAGACAUUAGUACACAAUGAACUAGAAAUUAAUCUUUGUUCAAAAUAUUGGAGACAUUAGUACACAAUGAACUAGAAAUUAAUCUCCGUAGAUUACUGGCACUUGCACAUACAAAGAUGUACACCUAAUACUAGCAGUACUUUCAUUAAAAAACAGAACAUGGGAAUAAUGCAUGUCGUAAGCAUGUACAAUAGAGUUGAGCAACUCCACGGCAGCACUUGACAGUCACAACAAGAACUAAUUCUGUCAGCGCAUUUAUCAAAAACAGAACAUGGGCUUGGACUUGUUACACGUUGUGCCGACAGUACUAAAGCCAAGAGUAGUUUCCCUCCCCACCCAAAAUAAAACAGAGUAGUUGUUGAAAUAAACCAACCCCUCCAAAAUAAGUAGUUUUCUAAAUUGCAAAUUAUCAGGAGUACGGUCGCACACGGCUGAAAGUAUCCAACUCGCUCUCCCACGUCCAGAGUUGCAGAAAAUGAAUAGACGCCAUAACUGGAGGAGAAGAAAAGGGGUAAUAAGCUUCCAAAAGUUACAUCUAGCACUAGCAUAUGGGUGGAGCCAAAGCACUUGUCAACAUCAGUCAGGUAGCAGGAUUCAGUGUGCAACCUAUGUAUCACAUAAAAAUAGAACUGAAGAGCAGUUUUCCAUUUGAGUUUGGUGUGAUGAAAUCUAACACUAUAUGGGCUGAAUCAGGACGCUUGGCAACAUCGUUCAGGUAGCAGGAUUUAAUAAUUUGCAACUUACAUCUAGCACUAGUAAUAUGGGCCGAAAACCAGGGCACUUGUCAACAUUAAUCAGGUACUAGCAGGAUUCAGUGUGCAACUUAUCAUCACAUAAACAUGGAAGGAUCUUAAAAACUGAAGAAGAGUGUUUCUAGCUGCGGCCUGCAUCUCCAUGCCUUUCAUAACUCCCUCCGAAUUGCGAAGAGGGCAUCGAUCUCAGCCAGCCUCCGUUCCGGCGUGGCCACCUCCACCGGGCGCGACAUCAUCUCCCCAAGCUACGCGGUGCGGCUCAUCUGCAGUAGACCAACCCAAUCUGUUUCAUAGCCGAUGCCGAAGAUGCAGUGGGCCCGUCCAACGGAAGACGCCAAGGCCAAACCUAGCACCUUGCAGCUUGCCUGUCAAAGAUGGAAAGUAAUUUCAGAUCUCUCAUAAUUGAAUUGCUUGCAGUAUGACAACCAAAAGUGUAUACUAGUACUGAGCAUGUUAUGCCUAGUAAGCGGAACAGACUAUGAAAGCUUUUUAGGAGUUCACGAUGAUAUAUAUGUGUGCCCCCAGCAUGCAUCUAUCUCUCUCAAAUAGUUAAUUAAGCAGAGACUUGGCAUAUCUGAAUUGGUUGAACUGUUGUACUAACAACCAUAAGCAAUUUUUUCUACCUAAGACUGAACCUGGAGCAUGCAUAUAGAUGACAAAUCUCAGUGACAGGCAAGACAAGGAUAGUUGUUAACUAGUAGCAAUUGUGAAGCUCAACGAUGAAGACAUGUUGGUGUCUUGGAAAAGAAUUUGAGUCUGCACGCGCAUCACAAGACAGAGGAAAAAAGUGUGUAUAUAUAUUUAUGAUAAGCUGAAACAUUGCUCCUGCCAUUCAGAACAAGAUGAUUAUUCGUUAUCAAGGAACAAAGAGUAUUUAUUUGCAGAAAAUAAAGAAUAUUUAUUUGCGGCCACUUAAUAUAUACCAUCCAGAACAAAAAAAGUAAAACUUGUUGUCCUAAGUGCACACCACAAUAAAAGGAAUCAAUCGCGUGAGAUGAACCGACAAGUAAAAUAACGGCUUAAACAGGUUGGCAUGGUUAAUGCUGGACUGCUGCCCCUGCAAGAGCCCUAGUAUUCUGGAGUCAAUCGCGUGAGAUGAUCACGUCUAGGCCCUCCCCUGUAUGACAUACUGGGAAACAGGAUGAGGUUGGUAUGGCUAGUAAGCGGAACAGACUAUGAAAGUUUUUUUUUUACCAUAUAUGUAAUCCCCUAGCAUGCAUCUCUGUGUGAAAUACUACCUCUACCUCUGUUUACAGAGGGAACAGACUACUUUAGUGACCUAAAAUAUUUGUUUACAGAGGGAGUGGUUAAUUAAUCAGAGACUUGGCAUCUCUGGAUGUAUUGCACUGUUGUAGUAACAACCAUGAGCAAUUUCAUCUACCUAAGACUGAACUUGGAGCACAUAGAUGACAAAUCUCAGUAUCUCACUCGUAGCCAAGACAAGAAUAGUUGUAAACUAGCAAUCGUGAUGGAAGCUCAACGAUGAAGACAUGUGUGUGUCUUCCAAAACAAAAGAAGCUGAAGGUUUCAAGUAUGUCCACACAUGGCAAGGCAAGGCAGAGGGGAAAAGUAUGAAUAUUUUCUCGUCUCCUCACGGACGGACGGACGGACGGAAAAGAAAGCCACUGUAUUUUCAGAAAGAAGAAGACAGGUGCAUCAGAUCAGGACAAGUUAAUGUAAGGGAAGAAGAGGAAAUCCAAUAUGGGGGAAUACCAGCAGCUCCGUCGCGUCCCCGAGCCCCUCCGCUCGUCUCCUCACCUCACGGACGGGCGCGCCGUCGGUUGUGUCCGGCCGGGAUGGAUGGAUCUGGCAUCUGGGGUGAGGAAGAGAAGUCAAGAGAUGCGCCAUGGCCGCCGGCGCUGGAUCUCCUUCUCCUCUCCUCUCCUCUCCUCUUGUCUCGCCUUGCGAUGAGGGGAGAGGGGAGAGGGCUCAGGCCGUCGGCGAGGUCAAAGGAAGGAAGACGAGGGCCGGCGGUGGGAUGUGGGAAUCGGGAGAGGUGGAAGACGAGAGAGCGGCUCGUUUUUU
rnacentral:lncRNA from 1 species